UUGAAAAUUUUAAAUUUUCAAAAUUUUUAAAAUGUGUAUGAGCAAAUUGUAACCUAAAUGUUUUUCUCCGUUUCCAUGUUUAUUUAUUUUGUGUGUAAUCAAAGCACUUCUUUGCGACGGUAAGCCACCAUGUGUAGAAACCGUUAACUUCGAAAUAUUUCGGCAUGAGAAGCAUUGAUUGAUAUCGCGUUUCGAGUAAUGUAAAUAAAAUAGCCUACAUUAAGGCGAAUGAACCAAAUAAAUUCAAAAACGGUAAGUGAUGGAAAUUUCCAUAUAGGAAAAUUCCCUGAUGCGUAGAUUAAAAAAACCAGUGGAAAAUUACUCUCUACGACUGAUUUUAAAAGAACACAAAGGCACUAUAGAAAAAGGUAGUUACUGCGAGUUAAUAAAUAGCUCGAUCCAACUCGUCGCGCGAUCAAUUUAUCUUUUCUGGUGGAGUGUUAAAGACAACCGAGUUUUUUGAAAAAAAGUUGGAAAAAUAAUUAAAGUUGGUGCAUAAAGUGCUAAAUUCGAAUAAAUUUAGUGAGUUGGUUAGCAAAAACGUUGAGAAAGCCUGAAAUUUGUGAAAGUUAAGGAUUAGAAUCAGGCCUUGCCCAUCUAACGUGGGCGGUUUAUCUAGGGCUUAUCCUAGCUGGAUUUUUCCCGAGUGCAGCCGAGACCGGAACCACCUGUGGUGCUGCGAGCUUCCGUUUGAUAGUCGACCACUUCGCGCUCGAGUGUGGUGAAUACGGUGAGCCGAGAAACCCGAACUCGUCGCGCCAAGACGUGUGGUACCGAGCUUCGCAGAACCUGCUCGAAUCUCCCCCAAGCGUGAGGACGCCUCUACCUCACCCCUACCCACGAACGAGUUGGCUCAUCGGACUACGUUGGAGGAAGCAAAUCGUUCGGUCGGCUGGUUCGUCAUAUUGUGGCUCGGCUUCGAGAGACUGCUCGACUGCGAACGACGUGGAGCAGCGUUGCGACGGAAAAUUCAAGGUCAGACCUAGCUGUAAGAUACGAUUGCGCAACGUAUAAAGAAGAGUUUUUUUGAAGAGAAUUGAAUGAGCUCGAAUGUGACGUCACACGGUCAGUAGCCAGUUGUAUUUGAUUCAGAAUCGUUCU